rnacentral:rRNA from 1 species
CAAUAGCGUAUAUUAAAGUUGUUGCGGUUAAAAAGUUCGUAGUUGGAUUUCUGCCAAGGACGACCGGUCCGCCCUCUGGGUGAGUAUCUGGCUUGGCCUGGGCAUCUUCUUGGAGAACGUUGCUGCACUUCACUGUGUGGUGCGGUAUCCAGGACCUUUACUUUGAGGAAAUUAGAGUGUUUCAAGCAGGCUUCCGCCUUGAAUACAUUAGCAUGGAAUAAUAAGAUAGGACCUCGGUUCUAUUUUGUUGGUUUCUAGAGCUGGGGUAAUGAUUAAUAGGGAUAGUUGGGGGCAUUCGUAUUUAACUGUCAGAGGUGAAAUUCUUGGAUUUGUUGAAGACGGACUACUGCGAAAGCAUUUGCCAAGGAUGUUUUCAUUGA